rnacentral:rRNA from 1 species
CCUACGGGUGGCAGCAGUGAGGAAUAUUGGUCAAUGGUCGCGAGACUGACCCAGCCAAGUCGCGUGAAGGAUGAAUGCCCUAUGGGUUGUAAACUUCUUUUAUCAGGGAGUAAAGUCAGGCACGUGUGCCUGUUUGUAUGUACUUUAUGAAUAAGAAUCGGCUAACUCCGUGCCAGCAGCCGCGGUACUACGGAGGAUUCGAGCGUUAUCCGGAUUUGUUGGGUUUAACGGGAGCGUAGGUGGGUUGUUAAGUCAGUUGUUAAAUUUUGCGGCUCAACCUUAACAUUGCAAUUGAUACUGGCAGCCUUGAGUAUAGGUGAGGUAGGCGGAAUUCGUGGUGUAGCGGUGAAAUGCUUAGAUAUCACGAAGAACUCCGAUUGCGAAGGCAGCCUACU